AUUGAACGCUGGCGGCAUGCCUUACACAUGCAAGUCGAACGGUAACGGGCCUUCGGGUGCCGACGAGUGGCGAACGGGUGAGUAAUGCAUCGGAACGUACCUUUCAGUGGGGGAUAACGUAGCGAAAGUUACGCUAAUACCGCAUAUUCUGUGAGCAGGAAAGCAGGGGAUCGCAAGACCUUGCGCUGAUUGAGCGGCCGAUGUCAGAUUAGCUAGUUGGUGAGGUAAAGGCUCACCAAGGCGACGAUCUGUAGCGGGUCUGAGAGGAUGAUCCGCCACACUGGAACUGAGACACGGUCCAGACUCCUACGGGAGGCAGCAGUGGGGAAUUUUGGACAAUGGGGGCAACCCUGAUCCAGCCAUGCCGCGUGAGUGAAGAAGGCCUUCGGGUUGUAAAGCUCUUUCGGCCGGGAAGAAAUCGUAUGGGCUAAUACCCUGUGCGGAUGACGGUACCGGCAUAAGAAGCACCGGCUAACUACGUGCCAGCCGCCGCCGUAAGAC
rnacentral:rRNA from 1 species